UACGUAGGGGGCUAGCGUUGUCCGGAAUCAUUGGGCGUAAAGAGCGCGUAGGCGGCUAGAUAAGUCCGGUGUGAAAGUCACAGGCUCAACCUGUGAAUGCCGCUGGAAACUGUCUGGCUAGAGUCCGGAAGGGCGAGUGGAAUUCCUGGUGUAGCGGUGAAAUGCGCAGAUAUCAGGAGGAACACCGGUGGCGAAGGCGGGUCUCUGGGCCGAUACUGACGCUGAGGUGCGAAAGCGUGGGGAGCAAACAGG
rnacentral:rRNA from 1 species